GGAUUAGAUACCCUGGUAGUCCACGCCGUAAACGAUGAGAACUAGACGUUGGGGAAUUUUCUUCAGUGUCGCAGCUAACGCGAUAAGUUCUCCGCCUGGGGAGUACGACCGCAAGGUUAAAACUCAAAGGAAUUGACGGGGGCCCGCACAAGCGGUGGAGCAUGCGGUUUAAUUCGAUGCAACGCGAAGAACCUUACCUACCCUUGAAAUCCUCGGAACUUACUAGAGAUAGUUUGGUGCCUUCGGGAACCGAGUGACAGGUGCUGCAUGGCUGUCGUCAGCUCGUGCUG
rnacentral:rRNA from 1 species